AUGAAAGGUCUUGCAAAUAAACGUAAUCACUUUUUGGCGUCUCCGCACAGGCAACACACCGAUGCCUCUGAUCUGGCGACCUUAAGCCUCGAAGCGCAGUCCCGCCUCUGCAGGCGGCCACCGCGCGGGGCUGGGUGGUCCCCCGGGGACCGCGAGCGGUUCCAAGACAAGACACCAGGCCAGUUGCGCGACGCAAGCCGGCCGCGGGGCAGGCAUUUCGGAGCACCGGGAAGCUCGGAGGCAGCGGCGGUGACCUCCAGACCGUCCUCCUGCGUCCUCAUUAAAGGAGGCAAAAUGGUGGCCGCGAACGCCAUCAGGCUGCGCCAGGGCGGGGUUUCGGCGCCAACACAGAGGAUCCCGCCAGAUUCUGGCGGCCAGAACUCCUCCUCACCCAGGCCACCCCCCGGGGCCCACAGCCUGGGCAGCUACGGGCGCGCCGCUCCACCCGGCCCCCAACCUUGUCCCUGCAGACCCGAGGCCGGAGCCCGACUAGUCCCGGGCCUAGCAGUGUGACUUCAUCACACGGUCCCCAGCCCCUCCUUUCCCUUAUUUCUCAUCCAUUUGGGGACAGCACGCGCGCACACACACCCUCGCCCCUCCUGUCCUGUUUGUGCGACGUGGCGUUGCUCGAUUUUUGUUGUGAACUGCAGAUUUUGAAAAGCGCCGGAGAGCUAGGUGAAGAGCUGGGCUCCCGAGGGGGUGACAGAACCAGCCCGCGGCCUGGCCUCCUCCUCCCGCUUCCCAUCGGCCCGGCUGCUGCAGAACGGCCGCGCCUGCCCUCCCGGUUUCUCCCGUCCAGUCCUCACCGUCCUUUCCCAGAGAAAGCGGCAGCACAGCCUAUGACAACUAAGCUGAAACGGAAAAACUGGGCCGGGCGCAAGAGGAAACCAGAGCCAUUCGACUAUUAUUACUAGAGGAGAGGAAUAGCUGUAGAAAAACAUGCGCAAAAUAGGCACAAACAUUGCGUCGUCAAGGCUGCAAUGUCUCAUACAAAAUAGAAGGUUCUCAUAGCAACAAAAACGUGCCCAUGUUGUGCUCAGUGUUAACAUGCGUUAAAAUGUUCUUAGUUGUGAAAUUUGACAUGACCGCUGGUUAAAGUUACAAUGGAAGUUUUAAAUCCUGCUUUCCGGAAACUUUGCAGCCAUAGCAUGAGGUUAAAUUUUUCUUAUUUUCAGGACAAGUUUACUCUACUGGAAUAUAGUAAAGCUCUUUUUAUAAAGAGCUUUGAAUAAAAUACCUAACGAUGUGGUUCAAACGAACACAUUUUCAAAACUAAUCUUAAAUGGUAUUUCAGUGCAUAUGUUAAAGCAAUUUAUAAACUAAAUUUUAAGAGCCUUCAAAAUACAAAGUACUCGUAUUUAAUGACUUCACAGUUUUAAUGCUUUUUUCUGUUUCUAUAAUCUCUCAGGAAAUCCUGACUAUAUUUUUAUUAAAAUAACUUUUUCUGUAGAAGAUACCCAUUUGGUGCUGUGAUCAGCAUUCUGCCUGAAAUUGAAUAUAAACAACUGAAUCAUUACAAAAUGGCUCAUGUUAGAAGAUACUUAAAACGAAUACAAUCUUGUACAGUAAAUUUUUAA